rnacentral:rRNA from 1 species
AACGCGAAGAACCUUACCAGCCCUUGACAUGGAUACUGUGAGCCUAAGAGAUUAGGUUCUUCACUUCGGGUGGGUAUCACACAGGUGCUGCAUGGCUGUCGUCAGCUCGUGUCGUGAGAUGUUGGGUUAAGUCCCGCAACGAGCGCAACCCUCAUUUUCAGUUGCCAUCAUUUAGUUGGGCACUCUGAAGAAACUGCCGGUGACAAGCCGGAGGAAGGUGGGGAUGACGUCAAGUCCUCAUGGCCCUUACGGGCUGGGCUACACACGUGCUACAAUGGUGGUGACAGUGAGUCGCGACCUCGCGAGAGGGAGCUAAUCUCCAAAAGCCAUCUCAGUUCGGAUUGUUCUCUGCAACUCGAGAACAUGAAGUCGGAAUCGCUAGUAAUCGUGGAUCAGCACGCCACGGUGAAUACGUUCCCGGGCCUUGUACACACCGCCUACUA